UUCCAAUUUGCUCUCAAACAG
rnacentral:snRNA from 1 species